UAGAGUUUGAUCCUGGCUCAGAUUGAACGCUGGCGGCAGGCCUAACACAUGCAAGUCGAACGGUAGCACAGAGAGCUUGCUCUCGGGUGACGAGUGGCGGACGGGUGAGUAAUGUCUGGGAAACUGCCUGAUGGAGGGGGAUAACUACUGGAAACGGUAGCUAAUACCGCAUAAUGUCGCAAGACCAAAGAGGGGGACCUUCGGGCCUCUUGCCAUCAGAUGUGCCCAGAUGGGAUUAGCUAGUAGGUGGGGUAAUGGCUCACCUAGGCGACGAUCCCUAGCUGGUCUGAGAGGAUGAUCAGCCACACUGGGACUGAGACACGGCCCAGACUCCUACGGGAGGCAGCAAUCU
rnacentral:rRNA from 1 species